GCACAAGCAGCGGAGCGUGUGGUUUAAUUCGUUGCUACACGAAGAACCUUACUGGGUUUGACAUAUAGGUUGUAGGGAACUGAAAAGGGACCGACCCUUCGGGGAGCCUAUACAGGUGUUGCAUGGCUGUCGUCAGCUCGUGUCGUGAGAUGUUCGGUUAAGUCCGCUAACGAGCGCAACCCUCGUCGUAUGUUAUAUGUGUCAUACGAGACUGCCGGUAAAAAGCCGGAGGAAGGUGAGGAUGAUGUCAAGUCAGCAUGACCUUUAUAUCCAGGGCUACACACACGCUACAAUGGUCUGUACAAUGGGUAGCCAAGCCGCGAGGCGGAGCCAAUCCUGAAAGCAGGCCUCAGUUCAGAUUGCAGUCUGCAACUCGACUGCAUGAAGCCGGAGUUGCUAGUAACCGCAGGGCAGCAAUACUGCGGUGAAUACGUUCCCGGGUCUU
rnacentral:rRNA from 1 species